rnacentral:rRNA from 1 species
UACGAAGGGGGCUAGCGUUGCUCGGAAUGACUGGGCGUAAAGGGCGCGUAGGCGGAUGGUACAGUCAGAUGUGAAAUUCCUGGGCUUAACCUGGGGGCUGCAUUUGAUACGUGUUGUCUAGAGUGAGGAAGAGGGUCGUGGAAUUCCCAGUGUAGAGGUGAAAUUCGUAGAUAUUGGGAAGAACACCGGUGGCGAAGGCGGCGACCUGGUCCUUGACUGACGCUGAGGCGCGAAAGCGUGGGGAGCAAACAGG